rnacentral:rRNA from 1 species
UACGGGGGGGCAAGCGUUGUUCGGAAUUACUGGGCGUAAAGGGCUCGUAGGCGGCCAACUAAGUCAGACGUGAAAUCCCUCGGCUUAACCGGGGAACUGCGUCUGAUACUGGAUGGCUUGAGGUUGGGAGAGGGAUGCGGAAUUCCAGGUGUAGCGGUGAAAUGCGUAGAUAUCUGGAGGAACACCGGUGGCGAAGGCGGCGUUCUGGACUGCAACUGACACUGAGGAACGAAAGCCAGGGGAGCAAACGGG